CUUCCGUAGGUGAACCUGCGGAAGGAUCAUUGAAUCUAUCGUGCCCACACCGCGAAAAUACUUAUGCCCUUCUGGGGUCAGCAAGCUUUACUGUUUGCUCUUCAGUUGNGCAGGUCAGGGGCUGGCUCCUUUUGGUGUCANUUNACUUGACUGNCUUCCGUAGGUGAACCUGCGGAAGGAUCAUUA
rnacentral:rRNA from 1 species